UGCCGGGUAAUGUGCAAUUGGAGAUUGCGAAUCAGGUCAGAUUCGGAAGGAAGCAGCCUUAAGCAAAUACUUCGAUGUGUCACUCCUACCCGGUUUUU
rnacentral:SRP_RNA from 1 species